CAGGCCAGACAGACAGUCGCCGCGUAACGCGUAAGGCUUACGGGGAGGAAAGUCCGGGCUCCAAAGAGCAGAAUGCCGGCUAACGGCCGGGCGUGGUAACACGACGGAAAGUGGAACAGAGAGCAGAACCGCCGAUGGCCAUGAUUCUCGCCAGCCUUUUGUAUCAUUGCAAAAUGAAAUGCCGCAGCCAUGAGUAUGGCAAGGCAAGCAGGGUGCAAAAGGCUGGCGGGAAGGCACAGGUAAGGGUGAAAAGGUGCGGUAAGAGCGCACCGUGCGGCUGGUAACAGUCCGCAGCAGGCUAAACCCCAUUCGGAGCAAGACCAAACAGAACGCAUUGACGCGACUCGCCGAGCGUUCGGGUAGGUUGCUGGAGCGCAUCAGCAAUGGUGCGACUAGAGGAAUGACUGUCCAACGACAGAACCCGGCUUAUCGUUUGACCUGUAUG
rnacentral:RNase_P_RNA from 3 species